rnacentral:rRNA from 1 species
CAGCUAAGAAUCUUCCGCAAUGGGGGAAACCCUGACGGAGCGACGCCGCGUGGACGAUGAAGGCCGUAAGGUUGUAAAGUCCUUUUGCAGGAGAAGAAUAAGGUAGGGAGUGGAAAGCCCUGCUGAUGACGUUAUCCUGCGAAUAAGCCCCGGCCAAUUACGUGCCAGCAGCCGCGGUAAUACGUAUGGGGCGAGCGUUGUUCGGAGUUAUUGGGCGUAAAGGGCGUGUAGGCGGCCCGAGAAGUCUGGUGUGAAAUCGCAGGGCUCAACCCUGCGGGUGCGCUGGAAACUGACGGGCUUGAGUCCCGGGGGGGAAGCUGGAAUUCCUGGUGUAGGAGUGAAAUCUGUAGAGAUCAGGAAGAACACCGGUGGCGAAGGCGAGCUUCUAUUCGAGGACUGACGCUGAGGCGCGAAAGCGUGGGGAGCAAACAGGAUUAGA